UACGAACUGUGCAAACGUUAUUCGGAAUCACUGGGCUUACAGGGUGCGUAGGCGGCUUACUAAGUAGGGUGUGAAAGCCCCCGGCUCAACCGGGGAACUGCGCCCUAAACUGGCGGACUAGAGUGAGAUAGGGGUGUGCGGAACUUCCGGUGGAGCGGUGAAAUGUGUUGAUAUCGGAAGGAACGCCGGUGGCGAAAGCGGCACACUGGGUCUCAACUGACGCUGAGGCACGAAAGCCAGGGGAGCAAACGGG
rnacentral:rRNA from 1 species